GGAGGAGUGUGGCAUUGGGAAAGGUUCUGUAUUCUGUGACACUUUUUGGAAGUGGAGAAAGCACCAGCCUGCCGAGCAGUGGUGUCUCCGUGACAGUCACGUGCCUUGUCAUGUGGGGCUAGGAUUGUGAAGACAACUCUCAGACCUCGGAAGCCCUUGCUGUAAACACAGAGGCUGUGAUGCACCCAUGGCUAUGUAGUGUGGAAAACUUGCAGGACUUGUGAACGACAGCGGAAGCUGCAAAGUGUGGCGGAGAUCUCUGUCCUGCUGUUUAAGAAGUGGGCCUCCGAGGGUCUGAGCCUAGCCACCUAGAGGAAAGUGGUCUGGCCAUCAUAGAGUUCCUCAGGCCACAUCUCAUCAGCACUUACCUUCUCGUACAUAAAUAUCGGGCAGUGGAAUCGGAGCAUGUGUCCCCUGACUGGAAGCAGUGACAACCACGGCAGCAGGUUUAUUUUUAAAUAAAGAUUGGAAAGUUAUAAGGCUCCUGAGGUUU
rnacentral:lncRNA from 1 species